rnacentral:rRNA from 1 species
GAUGAACGCUGGCGGCGUGCCUAAUACAUGCAAGUCGAGCGAACAGACGAGGAGCUUGCUCCUCUGACGUUAGCGGCGGACGGGUGAGUAACACGUGGAUAACCUACCUAUAAGACUGGGAUAACUUCGGGAAACCGGAGCUACUACCGGAUAAUAUAUUGAACCGCAUGGUUCAAUAGUGAAAGACGGUUUUGCUGUCACUUAUAGAUUGAUCCGCGCCGCAUUAGCUAGUUGGUAAGGUAACGGCUUACCAAGGCAACGAUGCGUAGCCGACCUGAGAGGGUGAUCGGCCACACUGGAACUGAGACACGGUCCAGACUCCUACGGGAGGCAGCAGUAGGGAAUCUUCCGCAAUGGGCGAAAGCUUGACGGAGCAACGCCGCGUGAGUGAUGAAGGUCUUCGGAUCGUAAAACUCUGUUAUUAGGGAAGAACAAAUGUGUAAGUAACUAUGCACGUCUUGACGGUACCUAAUCAGAAAGCCACGGCUAACUACGUG